CAUAUCAAUAAGCGGAGGAAAAGAAACCAACAGGGAUUGCCCCAGUAACGGCGAGUGAAGCGGCAACAGCUCAAAUUUGAAAUCUGGCUCCCUCGGGCGCCCGAGUUGUAAUUUGCAGAGGGUGCUUUGGCGUCGGCAGCGGCCUAAGUUCCUUGGAACAGGGCGUCACAGAGGGUGAGAACCCCGUACGUGGCCGCCCGCCUUCGCCGUGUAAAGCCCCUUCGACGAGUCGAGUUGUUUGGGAAUGCAGCUCUAAAUGGGAGGUAAAUUCCUUCUAAAGCUAAAUACUGGCCAGAGACCGAUAGCGCACAAGUAGAGUGAUCGAAAGAUGAAAAGCACUUUGGAAAGAGAGUCAAAAAGCACGUGAAAUUGUUGAAAGGGAAGCGCUUGCAGCCAGACUUGCCCGCGGCGGAUCCUCCUCCGCGGGCAGGCCAGCAUCAGUCUGGGCGGUCGGAUAAAGGCCUCGGGAAUGUAGCUCUCUCCGGGGAGUGUUAUAGCCCGGGGCGCCAUGCGGCCAGCCCGGACUGAGGUCCGCGCAUCUGCUAGGAUGCUGGCGUAAUGGCUGUAAGCGGCCCGUCUUGAAACACGGACCAAGGAGUCUAACAUCUAUGCGAGUGUUUGGGUGUCAAGCCCGGGCGCGCAAUGAAAGUGAACGGAGGUGGGAACCCCUCGGGGCGCACCAUCGACCGAUCCUGAUGUCUUCGGAUGGAUUUGAGUAAGAGCAUAGCUGUUGGGACCCGAAAGAUGGUGAACUAUGCCUGAAUAGGGUGAAGCCAGAGGAAACUCUGGUGGAGGCUCGCAGCGGUUCUGACGUGCAAAUCGAUCGUCAAAUUUGGGCAUAGGGGCGAAAGACUAAUCGAACUAUCUAGUAGCUGGUUCCUGCCGAAGUUUCCCUCAGGAUAGCAGUAACGUUUUCAGUUUUAUGAGGUAAAGCGAAUGAUUAGAGGCCUGGGGGUUGAAACAACCUUCACCUAUUCUCAAACUUUAAAUAUGUAAGAAGUCC
rnacentral:rRNA from 1 species